rnacentral:lncRNA from 1 species
UGCUCUGGUGUUUGCUGAGCUCUUUCCUCUGGUGGCUUCUAGGUGGAGUCUAAGGUCCCUGGCUGGAUUGAGCGGGUCCUUGGUAUUAAGCAAGAGGAGGUGCAGGCCCAGCUUCAUGACCUGGAACACAGAAUCGUGAGUCAUGUGGCCCAAGAGUGGCCCAAGUCUGUGAGCAAAGCUGCUGCCAUCUUAAGACUGAGCCUUCUGAAGGAAGGAAUGACCACCGGCGUGACGAAGGAGGUGAGGCCUGCCCCACUGGCUGUCCUCCUGGCUGGGGUCACUGGUUUGCCCUCAGAAGAGCCUGCCAGGAGGGAGGGGAAAACCCUGGCUGAGCAGGUAGCAUGCUUGCCCGCCCCCCACAUGGGCUGGGCCAGCCCUGCAGGUGACCUGGCCCCUGAGUAGUGCAUGCCUGUCUUUUAGGAAGUGAACCAGAUCAUAAAGGAGGCCCUGAAAGAACACAGUGAAGAUCGAAUCGGGCUUGUGGAUUAUGCCCUGGAGUCCUCAGGAGCCAGCAUUGUCAGUAGCCACUCCUCAGAGACAUAUGGCAUCAGGACGGAGUGGUCUGCCCAUUUCACUCUGUUGGGCAUCCCAUUGUGGCGCUAUUUCCAGUCGCCAAGAGUCAUCCUCCAGAUGUCUACCCUGGCAACUGCUGGGCAUUCCGGGGCCCCCGGGGCUUUGUCGUGGUGCGCUUGUCUGCCCGGAUCCAGCUCACUGCCAUCACUUUGGAGCACGUGCCCAAAGCCCUGUCCCCAAACAGUGACAUCCCCAGUGCCCCAAAGGACUUUGUC